CAACGCAGAACAAACAAAAACGAAAGUAGAUUUGAGUUUAGCAAGGAAGGUUUUGACAGAGGACGAUGACCAUCGUUUUUCUAUGAGGCUGGCCCAGCCUGACCCCAUCCAGUUCGUAGCGGACUAAUAAUAUGGACCCCACAAUGACGGCAACUCCGAGGGAAGUGCUGAGGAACACUCUGGACAACCUCACAGGGGCCGAAUUUAAGAGGUUUAAGCACUACCUUCAGGACCAGGGCCAAAUCGCAUGGGGAAAGCUGGAGAAGGCCGACACAGACGACACUGUGGACUUGAUGGUGCAGGUGUACAGCACGGGAGCUGGGGACAUCAUGCUGUCCAUUUUGAAGAAGAUUAAACACAACCAGUUGGACUU